UCUCUCUUCUGGAUUGCGAAAGAAAAAAUGCAUCAUACACAAAUGUCCUAAUAUUACUGCAUACAGACACAGCUGGCGACUCUGGCGAGAUAGAAUUCGCAAUAUAAUGUCUAUAUAGCAAUAAUAAGUGUACGUGUAUUUUCUUCAUAAUUUCUCCAGUACUGAUAGCAGCCCAGAUAGCAAGCACUUUUGGGCCGAUUCCGGUAGAAAAGCGGCACUGUCGGCUCACUGUCGACGUCGAUGAAAAGAUUAUGGGCCAUAACUCUGCCGACUGUACACAACGCAUCUGGCUGACAGACAGCGUUUUCUUUAUGGGCCGGUCUCGGCUGAAAUAGUUGUACUCGCGGCAGGUCCAUAUAACUCGGUAUAGAUCUAUCGGCCCGAGUUCGUUUCGUAAUAGGCGGGCCCCCAAAUAUCAAGCACUUUUGGGCCGAUUCAGGUUUAAGCGCGCCAACAUCGACUCAAUUUCAGAAUCAGUGAAAAGAUAAUGGGCCAGAGCCGUGUGGACUGUACGGCUGACAGGCGGCUUUUUCUGAACGGGCCAAUCACGACUGAAAGCUCGUUAUCUGUUUUCGGCCCGAGCUCGUUUGUCACGGGCGGGCCACUGCUGGAGUUAAGGACUUCAGCCGCCUGAAAAAGAGUUUUGGCGGUUAAAUCCUGAGGAGAAUCCUGCAGUCAACAUUUCAUGAUCGAGAGAAAGGAUCAGCUGCAAAACGCUGCAGUUCAGAGAAACCCUGCUGAAAUGGAGGAUGAGGGGACCAUGAAGAGGUGGCUGCAACUGGCAGCAAAUUGAAAAGGCGGAUGCAUGAACAGAUGGUUGAGAUGACCACAACAGCCCUGAAUGUCAGCAGAGAACAUGACAACUAAACAAGCUCUGGAGACCGAUCCGCUGUGAAGACCUCGUCGACACAACAGUCUACAGCACAGAUCUUCAGCAAAGAUCACGAGAACCAGACGAGACCUUUGCAAGGCCACUUCAACUUCUCUUCCCUCUACAUAUGCCAUUGUGCUGUGUUCGAUCCUCAAGCUGAAUGAUAUCAGUCCACAAUCUAACUUCUGAUGCAGCUGAAUCAUAAUCACACUGUGUUUGUUUGGCCAGAGGAAAACUGGCCCUCGACUGAGUCUGGUUUCUCCCAGGGUUUUUUCUUCAUUCUGUCUUCUGAUGGAGUUUGGGUUCUUGUCACUAUCGCCUCUGGCUUGCUUAGUUGGACACCUACUUUUCAAUAAUAUUGAUGACUGCAUUGACACUAUUGGAUGAGAACUCAACAGAGCUGGAUUAUGACAUUACUGUUUUCUGCAGAACUGCUUUAUAGCUGAAUUGAACUCAUUGAACUGAACUGAAACAACACUGAAAUGACUUCAGCUGAACAAUCACACUGUCUUUUGCUCCAUUACAGUAUUUAAUUCUGUUUGCAUAAUUGAAUUCACUAUUUUCCAGUUUAUCACUGUAAAGCUUCUUUGAAACAAACUGUAAUGUAGGUUAUAAAGCACUUUGUGAAGGUGACUUAACUUGAAAUUUGGAAAUUAUUGCUAAAAGAAUUUUUAUGUGUAAGAAAGGAUGUUGUUCCUCCAUUUAAUAUACAGUAAAUAAUUAACUUAGUAUUUAGUGGUUUAAAAUGUAUGUUGUUAGUAAAUGUUUAUAGUGUAUUCAUUGUUAAUAAUACUUAUAGUGUAUUUGUUAAUUUUAUAAUAAAAUGUCUUAAUCUUUUUAAAGGGUUGAUUGUGUUUCACUUGAAUUACAUUUAGCAGUUUCUGGACCACAUCUGGCCCGGGGACCAAGCCGAAUCUCAGCCAGAUGUGUUUUACAGUGCCUGGGCCAGACCUGGGCCACAUAAAACGAUUUAAGUCAAUUUCCAGUGUGCUGGCCAGAUCUGGGCCACAUCCAUAAAUAAGAGUCUUUUUACAGGGUGUGGGCCGCAUCUGGGCCAGAGGAAGUUGUUUUUGUCCGUUUUCAGUGUGAGGACCAGUUUUGGGCCGGGGACCCAGCCAGAACUGGGCCGGAAUUGAAGCAAGGAUGUGGCCCAGUAGUGGGCCGGACAAAUUUUGCUAUCUGGGAGAGCUUAUCGAUACACCGGUCUUUCAUAAUUUAGCCCCGUGGCCAAUAUAAUAGCUACCGGGUUUCGGUACCCAUCCCUAUUUGAACCUUUUUUAAUAGUUGAGUUUGAGUCCCUCAAUUGUCCUCAGUCUGAAAAGAUGAAUCUCAAAAUCAUACAGCCACUGCUGGAAAGGGUUCAAAUAUGCAAAAAUGCUU